rnacentral:misc_RNA from 1 species
UUUGAUUAUGGCUCAGAUUGAACGCUGGCGGGAUGCUUUACACAUGCAAGUCGAACGGCAGCACGGACUUCGGUCUGGUGGCGAGUGGCUUGAACGGGUGAGUAAUGUAUCGGAACGUGCCUAGUAGCGGGGGAUAACUACGCGAAAGCGUAGCUAAUACCGCAUACGCCCUUCCAGGAAAGCGAGGGGGGGCCUUCGGGCCUCGCACUAUUAGAGCGGCCGAUAUCGGAUUAGCUAGUUGGUGGGGUAACCUCACCAAGGCGACGAUCCGCCAGCUGGUUUGAAGGACGACCAGCCACUGGGACUGAGACACGGCCCAGACUCCUACGGGAGGCAGCAGUGGGGAAUUUUGGACAAUGGGGAAACCUGAUCCAGCCAUCCCGCGUGUGCGAUGAAGGCCUUCGGGUUGGUAAAAGCACUUUUGGCAGGAAGAAACGGCACGGGGAUAAUACCCGUGCAACUGACGGUACCUGCAGAAUAAGCACCGGCUAACUACGUGCCAGCAGCCGCGGUAAUACGUAGGGUGCAAGCGUUAAUCCCG